rnacentral:rRNA from 1 species
GCGUAAAGAGUGGCCCCAGACUAUCACAGCGAACUAAGAACAAACCACAGCCCAAGCCGUCACAAGCUCAGGGCAUCCCUGAAGCCCAACCUAAAGACGAUCUUAAUAGCCACGACCAAUCCCACCCCACGAAAGCCAGGACACAAACUGGGAUUAGAUACCCCACUAUGCCUGGCCCUAAAUCUCGAUGUUUACCAAACACAAACAUCCGCCCGAGAACUACGAGCACAAACGCUUAAAACUCUAAGGACUUGGCGGUGCCCUAAACCCACCUAGAGGAGCCUGUUCUAUAAUCGAUAACCCACGAUCCACCCGACCACUUCUCGCCAAUAACAGCCUACAUACCGCCGUCGCCAGCCCACCUCCCUGAGAGCACAACAGUGAGCCCAACAGCCCACAGCCCGCUAACAAGACAGGUCAAGGUAUAGCCAAUGAAGUGGAAGAAAUGGGCUACAUUUUCUAAAAUAGAAAAUCCAACGAAAGAGGGUCUGAAAUACACCCCCAGAAGGCGGAUUUAGCAGUAAAGCAGGACAAUCAAGCCCACUUUAAGCUGGUCCUAGGGCACGUACACACCGCCCGUCCACCCUCCUCACAAGCUCUAAACCCCUACUAAAUAAUACAACAAAUAGCCGAAGACGAGUAAGUGUAAGA